rnacentral:rRNA from 1 species
UACAGAGGGUGCAAGCGUUAAUCGGAAUUACUGGGCGUAAAGCGUGCGUAGACGGUUAUUUAAGUCGGAUGUGAAAGCCCCGGGCUCAACCUGGGAAUUGCAUUCGAGACUGAAUAGCUAGGGUACGGUAGAGGGAAGUGGAAUUUCCGGUGUAGCGGUGAAAUGCGUAGAUAUCGGAAGGAACACCAAUGGCGAAGGUAGCUCGCUGGGACGUUACUGACGCUGAGACGCGAAAGCGUGGGGAGCAAACAGG